rnacentral:lncRNA from 1 species
CUUGAAAUGGGCUGAGUCCCUCUUGCUCACCCUUGACUUGGAAAAACCAGUUUCUCUUUUAUUGUCUGUUACUAAUCUCUAUUCUAAAAAUUCAGCUCAAUUCUCAACCAUACUCCAAACUCUCUCUUUUCCAGCUACCUUUACUCCCUCUCCUUCAAUUCCACUUUCCUCUGCUUACUUUUUUUUUUUUUCUGACAGGGUCUCACUUUGUCGCCCGGGCAGGAGUGCAGUGGCUCAAUCUUGGGCUCACUGCAGCCUCAACCUCCCAGAGGCGGGGUUUCACCAUGUUGCCCAGACUGGUCUUGAACUCCUGAGCUUAAGCAAUCCACCUGCCUCGGCCUCCCAAAGUGUUGGGAUCACAGGCGUGAGCCACCGCAUCCGGCCUCAUGUUCUUUUUCAUUAAAGAGAGAAAUCAACUAUUCAGGACCGGCCCCCACCUUUCCUCAGGAGUCAUUUCUGUUCCGCACAGGCCUGCUGAACUGGGUGCUUUAUAUAGGACACUGUCAUCUCUCAAGUACCCAUCUUGGAGGGUACGGACCCCACAUGAGGGUGAGGCUCUCUGCACACUCCAGAGGUCCCCAGGCAGGUGGCUGGGACACUAUUUGCAAUCAGCAAGGAACCCUGCUGCCCUUAGACUCCCCACAGAGCAAGCAGAACUUGCAGAAUGGGGUAAAAACACUCUAUUAAAGAUUUUUUAAACCUA